rnacentral:rRNA from 1 species
CUAAGAAUAUUCCGCAAUGGACGGAAGUCUGACGGAGCGACGCCGCGUGGAUGACGAAGGCCGAAAGGUUGUAAAGUUCUUUUGCUGGGGAAGAAUAACCGCAGGAGGGAAAUGCCUGUGGGAUGACAAGAACCGGCGAAUAAGCCCCGGCCAACUACGUGCCAGCAGCCGCGGUAACACGUAGGGGGGCGAGCGUUGUUCGGAAUUACUGGGCGUAAAGGGCAUGUAGGCGGCUUGGAAAGCCUGGCGUGAAAGUCUGCAGCUUAACUGCAGGGGUGCGCUGGGAACUGCUGAGCUUGAGUGACGGAGAGGGAGCUGGAAUUCCUGGUGUAGGGGGUGAAAUCUGUAGAUAUCAGGAAGAACACCGAUGGCGAAGGCAAGCUCCUGGCCGAUGACUGACGCUGAGGUGCGAAAGUGUGGGGGAUCAAACAGGAUUAGAUACCCUGGUAGUCCACACAGUCAACGAUGUGCACUAGGUGCUGGGGCGGUAGCUUCGGUGCCGGAGCGAACGUGGUAAGUGCACCGCCU